rnacentral:rRNA from 1 species
AUUGAACGCUGGCGGCAUGCCUUACACAUGCAAGUCGAACGGCAGCACGGGAGCAAUCCUGGUGGCGAGUGGCGAACGGGUGAGUAAUGUAUCGGAACGUGCCCAGUCGUGGGGGAUAACGUAGCGAAAGCUACGCUAAUACCGCAUACGAUCUAUGGAUGAAAGCGGGGGAUCGCAAGACCUCGCGCGAUUGGAGCGGCCGAUAUCGGAUUAGGUAGUUGGUGGGGUAAAGGCUCACCAAGCCGACGAUCUGUAGCUGGUCUGAGAGGACGACCAGCCACACUGGGACUGAGACACGGCCCAGACUCCUACGGGAGGCAGCAGUGGGGAAUUUUGGACAAUGGGCGCAAGCCUGAUCCAGCAAUGCCGCGUGCAGGAUGAAGGCCUUCGGGUUGUAAACUGCUUUUGUACGGAACGAAACGGUGAGCUCUAAUACAGUUUGCUAACGACGGUACCGUAAGAAUAAGCACCGGCUAACUACGUGCCAGCCGCCGCAGUAA